rnacentral:lncRNA from 1 species
CCACUUUUUUUAAAUCAGGUAAAUAUAUUUACACUUUAAAGGAUCUCCAAUACAAUACAUUCUGUAAUGCAGUUUCUGAGAAAUUUUGUGAACUUCACUGGGAAGAAAAAUUAUUAGCAAAUCUUUAUGGUGCAGCAAAUGGUGAAACGUCUGUACCUGAAAGAAUUAAUGAACCACAAUAUUUGAGCAAGACUUUCCAAAGCAAACCACAUACUUCUCUGAGUGGCAGUGAGGAAGCAAAAGAUAUAAGGAGAAGAAGAGCAAUGGGGAUUUUCAAAUAAAGAUUUAUAUCCUUGGAAAAC